CCUCCAUGUUUGUGUUUGUUUGGGGGAGAUUUGGUGCUGAUUGCGUGCAGGGGGCCCCUAGGUGCAGGAGAGGGAGAUAACGGGGCGACCCUGCCUUUAACCAGCGCACACAGUCACUAGGCCCCCCACUGGAUACGGCUAAUAGACAUCAAUAGGUGCCUGGGCCCCAGGUUUAUGCUAUGUGUUAAACCAUCGUGUGCAAGCUUCGGGAAUGUGAUGUUUGGAUCAGGAACGAAGCUCACGGUUCUCGAUCCCAACAUUAAUGUCACAGAGCCAGAUGUAAAGAUUCUGCCACCUUCUCCCAAAGAGAUCUGUGCCUCUGACAAUGACCAGGGCAACGUGACUCUGGUGUGUGUCGCUACAAACUUCUACCCUGACCAUGUCUCUGUGUCCUGGACGCUCAGUGUUGAGAAUGCUACCUUUGGAGUGGCAACUGACAACAGUGCCCACCGUUUCAACGAAUCAGCAAAGUAUAGCAUCUCCAGCCGCCUAAGAGUCCCAAAGUCAGUUUGGAUAAACACCACAAAUACGUUCGCAUGCUCUGUCAAGUUCUUUGAUGGCAAUAACUAUACGACUGUGACAGACACAAUCUAUGGCAAUAAUAGUGAGUAUCAAUUUUAUGAACUAAAAGAUGCCAUUUUGGUCAUGAAUGAGACAUUUCUUAUCAACGACACCUGCUGCCCUAAACUUACAGACAGUUAUGACUUGUAUGUUUGUGUGUUUGUGCCAGCGGAUCGAGUGAGGCGGAAUAUGGCCACGGCGCUCUUUGCCUACCUCCUGUUUCUGGUCAAGAGCAUGCUGUAUGCUGCCGUGGUGGGCGGCCUGGUGUGGAAGAUGAGGAGGGGCAACAAGAAGGCCGUAAGUGAUUGA